CCUGUCUGGGAGCGGCUGGGACAGAGGGCGGAGAAGGAACCACGUGCGUGGCAGGGAGCUGCGCUGCACAUCCGCUCGACGGCUGCGGGGCGGGAGCUGCGCUCCGCUCUUCCCGCCACGUGCGCGGGCGGCAGCGGCGCCCCCUGCCGGGCGCGGGGUGGUGGCGGGGCCGGGCGGGCCCCGGGCGCGGAGCGCUCCGCCCCAGAGCGAGGAGGCCGUGCCCGCGGCCGGAGCUGCGUGUCGCAGAGAGGGAGAGCGCGGAGGGAGCGCGGCCACAGUCUAGCCUGCUUGAAGCGAAGAAAAUUGUGGUGCUUCUAAAGAUACAUUUGCAGUUAUUGCACAUUGUGCAGCAGUAAGUUAAAUAUCUACAUUUCAGCAGCACUUUGGUGGCCUCUACCCAGAGCAAUUCGAAGUACAUAUUGCUCAACUGCAGAAGUCCUUGAAUGCACUGUUCUAUCCAACUAUGGUAAUUACUGAAGUUCCUUUUGUUAAAUAAGGUCUUCAGAAUUCCUCAGGCUGACCUACAGUUGCUAUAGCAGCAGCUUUAUCAGAGGAAUUGCUUAGCCAACCUUCUCUGCAUCGGAGCUACUGGACUUCUUACAGCACCGCAAUCCUACAACACUUCCUC